rnacentral:misc_RNA from 1 species
GAUGAAGAACGCAGCGAAAUGCGAUAACUAAUGUGAAUUGCAGAAUUCAGUGAAUCAUCGAGUCUUUGAACGCACAUUGCGCCCUCUGGUAUUCCGGAGGGCAUGCCUGUCCGAGCGUCAUUGCUGCCCUCCAGCCCGGCUGGUGUGUUGGGCCCCGUCCCCCUUCCCGGGGGGACGGGCCCGAAAGGCAGCGGCGGCACCGCGUCCGGUCCUCGAGCGUAUGGGGCUUUGUCACCCGCUCUUGUAGGCCCGGCCGGCGCCAGCCGACCCCCUCAAUCUAUUUUUCAGGUUGACCUCGGAUCAGGUAGGGAUAACCGCUGAACUUAAGCAUAUCAAUAAGCGGAGGA